rnacentral:lncRNA from 1 species
GGUACAAUUCGAGCAUCUCAAGCUUCCUAAAAGCCUCAAUGACUGAUGCUUGCAUGCAUAUGACCAGAUCAGCUCAAAAAUUAGAGUUAUAAUCCUUAUCAGGAUCGGAUCAAAUGUCAGCCGUCUGAUCUAGGUUCUGAUGAAGUUCUGACCGUCAGAUCAUGCAAAAGAGUCUUUAACACAGUCAGGAGCGAUAACAGCCAUUGGAUCAUGUGAUGGAUUGCUUCUGGGCCGUC